AUUGAACGCUGGCGGCAUGCCUUACACAUGCAAGUCGAACGGCAGCACGGGAGCAAUCCUGGUGGCGAGUGGCGAACGGGUGAGUAAUAUAUCGGAACGUGCCCAGUCGUGGGGAUAACGUAGCGAAAGCUACGCUAAUACCGCAUACGAUCUAUGGAUGAAAGCGGGGGAUCGCAAGACCUCGCGCGAUUGGAGCGGCCGAUAUCAGAUUAGGUAGUUGGUGAGGUAAAGGCUCACCAAGCCGACGAUCUGUAGCUGGUCUGAGAGGACGACCAGCCACACUGGGACUGAGACACGGCCCAGACUCCUACGGGAGGCAGCAGUGGGGAAUUUUGGACAAUGGCGGCAAGCCUCGAUCCAGCAAUAGCCG
rnacentral:rRNA from 1 species